rnacentral:rRNA from 1 species
CUCGUAGGCGGCUUGUCGCGUCUGCUGUGAAAACGCGGGGCUUAACUCCGCGCGUGCAGUGGGUACGGGCAGGCUAGAGUGUGGUAGGGGAGACUGGAAUUCCCGGUGUAACGGUGGAAUGUGUAGAUAUCGGGAAGAACACCAAUGGCGAAGGCAGGUCUCUGGGCCGUCACUGACGCUGAGGAGCGAAAGCGUGGGGAGCGAACA